GGAAGUACUGCUGAAACAUUGCCCAGACGAACAUCAGACUGGCGAUUAUCGAUCCCAGCUGAGCAAAAGCAUCCCCUGCCUUCAUCCUGGUAAACCCUCUCCCACUUCCUAUGCUCUCCUCCAGUCCGUGCUUCAAACUUGCUGAAUUAAUCAUCGGUUUGUGGUGUAUUUGUUUUGUGGGUUAUCUAUUGACAAGUUGUUGAAUUUAUAAAGACAGUCGAAUACUUUUUGGUUAGACCGAAUACGUGGCUUCUGACUCCGAGGCCAAUAAUACGUGUACGGUGUUUGACAAGUAUAAAAGUACAAGUAAGCCCUAUGUCGGCUAUUGCUUUUACUUUCAUAGCCCUCAUAAGUUAGAACAAGUCGAUUUUCUCCUUUUCUCUUUACCGUAAGGACGAAGAAUCCCUCUUUUAACAUCAGGACAAAUAGAAUGGUCUUUGUUUAAUAGUAUUUGAUUUAUCUACCUAAUAUUCAAAUCAGAUUUCUUUCAUUCUUAUCUAGCUGAUUGAGGAAAUGACGCUGAAAUUUUGGUACCUAGGACAUGCGCCAGCGGCAUUAAGAAUACUUGUUUUAUUUGGGUGGGUGAGAUGUCUAAGAAUCAGACAAUUAUUUGUCUGUGGAGGACAAGCUGUCUUCUGUGAGUAGCAUGGACCCUUUUAGUCUUUUAAUAAUCGAUGAUAAAAACCUUUAUAGUAACCCUUUUUGGCCAUUGAUUGGAUUGAUCACAAUACGUUUUCCCCCUUGUCUGUAAUUAACUAUGGGCUGAUAUGGCUGCUGGUUGUUGCAAAGGAUCAACAUCACUUGCCAGCAGUUGGCCACUCCUUGGAAUGAAGUCAUGCAUUUAGGAUUGAAGGAACUUUCAUUUAAGCAACUGAAUAAAUAAGAUAUUUAAGCAACUAAUUAGUCUCUUCUUCAGGAGCUUUCUGCCUUUAAGGGUGAUUACAGGCAUAAUCAAAAGGAUAGCACAACCGAAUGUUAAGCAAACUAAAUUAGAUAAGGUGAUAAGUUUAGCUAAUGAGCAGAAGUUAGUAACCAAGAUACUAGUAGUCUCCCAAAACAUAAGCAAUAACAGAUAACUAAACAAAAUCAUAAACGAGCUCAGGUUCUUAGCAUCAGAGCUGAAAUUCAUCCGACAUCACAUUCAUCUUCUUCUUGUUCUUCGUUGUCAUUGUCAUCUUCCUCUUCCUUGACCCUGCCUCCCUCCUUUGCUGUCUCCAGAUCCUGAAUCAACCGAUUCAAGCAAGUCGCAGCAUCUUCGUCGAUGGAUUUUUGCAUCAAGCUCUCAGCUACAUCAGCAGGGCUAAUCUUGAUCUUCUCCAACAGGCUUCGAAUGACUUCAAACAGCGGGUGUGAA
rnacentral:lncRNA from 1 species